rnacentral:misc_RNA from 1 species
GCGGGUGUGCUGACGGUACCUCUGCGAAGCAGGCGGCGAAGGCGCUGCUGAAGAAGACGGCGGUGAAGGAGGAGGAAGUCGCCAUGCUCCCCUGUCUCGCCGGCGGCGGCCGCUCGUGGGGGUGGGGCUACUCUGCCUGCCGGAACCCUGAACUGGACAAGACACAGGAGCCCGGGACUCUCACCCGUCUUCUAUGCCAAUGCGGGUACUCCAUCGAUGUACAAGGGCAGGGCAGCCAGAUCCAGAUCUCGACUCAGCUACUACGACAAGCAAUAAAGCAUCAAAUAGUGAUUAGUGAAGUCGAAGUUAUCAGUUAUUUUAAACCGAGCUUGGUAUUAAAUGGGUUUAAUACAAAUGGAGAUAGAACAUGUUAUCCGUG